GGGGACAACCCGCCGAAAGGCGGGCUAAACCCGCGUACAUGCCACCGGGGCAUCCCGGAGGCAGGAAAGGCUUCGGCCGGACAGGGAUGGGCAUGCGGCGCAUUAGGCAGUAGGCGGGGUAACGGCCCACCUAACCGACGAUGCGUAGGGGUUCUGAGAGGAAGGUCCCCCACACUGGUACUGAGACACGGACCAGACUCCUACGGGAGGCAGCAGUGAGGAAUAUUGGUCAAUGGUCGGGAGACUGAACCAGCCAAGCCGCGUGAGGGAUGAAGGUACAGAGUAUCGUAAACCUCUUUUGUCAGGGAACAAAGGCGGGGACGUGUCCCCGGAUGAGUGUACCUGAAGAAAAAGCAUCGGCUAACUCCGUGCCAGCAGCCGCGGUAAUACGGAGGAUGCGAGCGUUAUCCGGAUUUAUUGGGUUUAAAGGGUGCGCAGGCGGUCUGUUAAGUCAGCGGUCAAAGCCCGGGGCUCAACCCCGGCCCGCCGUUGAAACUGGCAGUCUCGAGUUGGAGAGAAGUAUGCGGAAUGCGCGGUGUAGCGGUGAAAUGCAUAGAUACCGCGCAGAACUCCGAUUGCGAAGGCAGCAUGCCGGCUCCACACUGACGCUGAGGCACGAAAGCGUGGGUAUCGAACAGGAUUAGAUACCCUGGUAGUCCACGCAGUAAACGAUGAA
rnacentral:rRNA from 1 species